AUUGAACGCUGGCGGCAGGCCUAACACAUGCAAGUCGAACGGUAACAGGAAACAGCUUGCUGUUUCGCUGACGAGUGGCGGACGGGGGAGUAAUGUCUGGGAAACUGCCUGAUGGAGGGGGAUAACUACUGGAAACGGUAGCUAAUACCGCAUAACGUCGCAAGACCAAAGAGGGGGACCUUCGGGCCUCUUGCCAUCGGAUGUGCCCAGAUGGGAUUAGCUAGUAGGUGGGGUAACGGCUCACCUAGGCGACGAUCCCUAGCUGGUCUGAGAGGAUGACCAGCCACACUGGAACUGAGACACGGUCCAGACUCCUACGGGAGGCAGCAGUGGGGAAUAUUGCGCAAUGGGCGCAAGCCUGAUGCAGCCAUGCCGCGUGUAUGAAGAAGGCCUUCGGGUUGUAAAGUACUGUCAGCGGGGAGGAAGGGAGUAAAGUUAAUACCUGUGCUCAUUGACGUUACCCGCAGAAGAAGCACCGGCCAACUCCGUG
rnacentral:rRNA from 1 species